GAAAUUUCAUUCGCACUAGUGAUAGCUAGUUUCCCUGGAAAGACAUAAAAGUGUCGUGGAAAAGAUAUAAUUUUAUAAUAUUAAUCAUUAUAUAUUAUAUAUGCUUUUCACUAAUUUUUUUGAGGAUAAGCUCAAAAAAAAAAUUAAGAAUUUUCUAAUUAAAUUUACUGUUUGGGCUUAAAAUUGGCCAAUAUAAAAGUUUUUUAUAAAAUAGUAACCUUAGUUUUACAAAUAAAUAUAAUUUUAACUAACUUUUUUACAGGGACAAAAACUUUAAUUUAAAUAAGUUUUAUGCCUAUGCUAGAAUGAGUAUUAAAACUUAAUUAUGAAAGAUUUAUUUAUAUCUUCCUUAAAAAAAAUUAAAAAAAUUAAUUAAUUAGAAGGAACUCGGCAAAUUUAGUUGUUUCGCCUGUUUAUCAAAAACAUGGCUCUUUGAUUAUAUAAAUAUAAAGAGUCGGACCUGCCC
rnacentral:rRNA from 1 species